CUAGCGGCGGACGGGUGAGUAACGCGUGGGAAUGUGCCCUUCUCUACGGAAUAGUCCCGGGAAACUGGGUUUAAUACCGUAUACGCCCUUCGGGGGAAAGAUUUAUCGGAGAAGGAUCAGCCCGCGUCUGAUUAGGUAGUUGGUGGGGUAAUGGCCUACCAAGCCUACGAUCAGUAGCUGGUUUUAGAGGAUGAUCAGCCACACUGGGACUGAGACACGGCCCAGACUCCUACGGGAGGCAGCAGUGGGGAAUCUUAGACAAUGGGCGCAAGCCUGAUCUAGCCAUGCCGCGUGAGUGAUGAAGGCCUUAGGGUCGUAAAACUCUUUCGCCAGGGAUGAUAAUGACAGUACCUGGUAAAGAAGCCCCGGCUAACUCCGUGCCAGCAGCCGCGGUAAUACGGAGGGGGCUAGCGUUGUUCGGAAUUACUGGGCGUAAAGCGCGCGUAGGCGGACUAUUAAG
rnacentral:rRNA from 1 species